rnacentral:rRNA from 1 species
AUUGAACGCUGGCGGCAGGCCUAACACAUGCAAGUCGAGCGAGCGGCGGACGGGUGAGUAAUGUAUGGGGACUGCCCGAUAGAGGGGGAUAACUACUGGAAACGAUAGCUAAUACCGCAUACUAUCGGAUAACCCAUAUGGGAUUAGCUAGUAGGUGAGGUAAUGUCUCACCUAGGCGACGAUCCCUAGCUGGUCUGAGAGGAGCAUCAGCCACUCUGGGAUUGAGACACGGCCCAGACUCCGACGGAGGAAGCAGGGGGGAAUAUUGGACAAGGGGCGAAAGCCUGAUGCAGCCAUGCCGCGGGGAUGAAGAAGGCCCUAGGGUUGUAAAGUACUUUCAGUCGGGAGGCGUUACCGACAGAAGAAGCACCGGCUAACUCCGUGCCAGCAGCCGCGGUAAUAC